rnacentral:lncRNA from 1 species
UCGAGAGAUCAAUUUCAGCAGGAGGAGGGUCGACGGGAUGAGUAAGGCCCAUUCUGACAGAAUGUCCGGCACCGUGAAUUCUCUCCAAAGUAAAAGAAUUCCAAGUAACUGGCCUCUCGAGGACGGCCUUGUAAAAGUUGAGGAAGUCGACAGAGGGAACUGGCCGAAUUUGGGAACCUGCGGAAAAACGAGAAAGUGUUAACGCAGUUUGAAA